AUAAUCUUGUGAUCCAAUCCAACCAAAUAUCAUUCCACUGACCGGCUUCCUGCCUAUAAAUAGUGUUGCCUCCCCAGCCGUAUGGGCACUAGAAACCCCUUAAGCUGCUAGUCUCGUCUUCUCUGCUCUUCCUACCUUCCUCUAGCUAUAGCAACACCUUGCCCACAUUCCAUGUCUCCAACGGGUGCUUCCGCUCUCAAGGUUGCGGCUAUCGCCGUCUGCCUCGGGCUGGUUCUAUCGUCCAUGAGGCAGCCAGUGUUCGCGCAAACCCAGUCCCAGCAGCAAGCUUGCACCACAACUUGCGCCAGCGCGUGCAAUAUUGUGGCGAAGGCAGCCUGCCCCGGCUUCUGCGCAGGCAACCCAACUCCCACUAAUCCGCUAGCUUGCAACGCCUGCAACACGACGGCCAAUGCAGAUUGCAACAAUCAGUGCGCCCCAGCCUGCUUCCUCAACCCAGAUCCCAACGCUUAAUGUUCAUCAUCCAUGUUCGUGCUGUUGCUUAAGAGCUAAUGUUUACUGAAUAAUUAAGCAUGCCGACUGGGCUGCAUGUAUGUUGUGUUGCUUUCUAUUCUAUUUCCCUUGCAAAUGAUGUAAAGCCGUCGGCCUACUGGCUGGCUGGACUCAUGUAGAAAAUCGCUCCAUGUGAUUGGUGUUCCUUGGGCUUUGUUGAAUUGAAAUCAUGUUGUUAUGUGUUUCAGUAUUAACUUAUCAGCAUCCAUCUCUGUCAAUCUCGAUCACCAUGUUGUGAAAAAGAAGAUUUCCCUCUGCAAAUCUGUGCACACCACAUAAUAUAUAUAUAUAUAUAUAUAUAUAUAUAUAUAUAUAUAUAUUGUUCAUCUUGUUCUAUUAUUUCAUCUUGUUCAGGUCAAUCCAGUAAACUGUACAGUUUGUUACUAUGUUCAAUCGUGUUAUGUGACUAUCAGAAUUAGAAAACAAGCUUCCGAUCAUAUGGAGACAAUUAAAUAUUCCAAGCGAUACAAGCUGCCACUGAUCCAACCCAGAAAUACCACAUUAGGCUUGGUCAUAUAUAUGGCGAUCGAGGUAGAUGAAAAAACGACCCAAGAUUCGAUCAGUCAUAUAGAUGCAAGCUUGCUACUGCAAGCAUUAAUACGAAACAGACUGAAAACUUAUUUAACGGACACUUGAUCUUGUUUUCUUUUCUUUUCCUUUUUCCCUAUACUAUCCUUUAUUCUGUUCUUUAUUCUUCUUCUAAUACCUCUCUAAGUAUUUUUGUCAUGUAUGUAAUCAAUAUCUUUUAAUAAGUAGCAUUCAUCAUUGUUCUUUUAAACGAGUACAUGAUGUUUGUUUUUUCAAUCCUUUUUUAAUACUCUAUUUCAUUUGGUUUUUCCCACGUUACCUAUCCAAUAUUUCUACUUUUUUCUUUUAUUUGGUAUUUCAUAAUUUCUUGACUUAUCCGCUUAUUUCACUUAUUUAUUUAUCUAUUUAUUUACUUAAUUUUAUUCUUGCCUUACUUUAUAUAUUGAAUGUAUCCCUUUAUUUUUUUAAUGUAUUGUAAUAUUUAAGUUGUUCUAUGUUUAAAAUUUUUCCAGCUGCACAAUUCUACAAUUUUGUUCAAAGUGUAUAAUUUUUUAUUCCAUAAUUUCAUCUAAUUUAAUUAAUUCCUUCUCUACAAAUCUUUGUUUCUUGAGUUCACUAUUUUGUUCCAGGUGUAUAAAUGUAUGUUCUGUGUAUAAAUGUACAUUCUGUAAGUCCAUAUAAUUUGUUUCAAUAUACAAAUCUAUGUUUUAUGAGUUCACAUAUCUGUGUAUAAAUGUACAUUUUGUGAGUCCGUAUAAUUUGUUUCGAUAUACAAAUCUAUGUUUUAUGAGUUCACGUAAAUUGUUCCAUAUGUAUAAAUCUUUAUUCUUCAUAUAAUUCGUUCUUGGAGUACAUACCCUAGUUUUGUGAUAUAUGAAAGAAAAUGGAAAGUUACCGAUCAUCACAGUAUACAAACCGAGAGUACGUCUGAAGCUAAGUCCGCAUGAUCGGUAGAAAUCCUUGAAUGAGGUGUGAUCCCCGAUUCUGUAAAUUUUAGCUUACGGCAUUCAUGAGAAGGUCAGAAGUGCUGCAGUCCUAGUUUGGACUUCUGGAUGCGCACUUCGUUGCAUUAUACGACUACUUCAUCGACGUCGAUCGGAUCGACCACUCACGCUUCAUUAAGACUUCCGCUGCGAUGCGAGACGAGCAAAGGUAUAAUCUAUGAUCAUCUUCUCGCAAGUGAUCUUGUUUACGCAGUUAUAUUUUUGUGUGCUAGCGAGUAGCAUACUAAGUUUUCUAACAGAUACUACCUCAUGAAAGCCGUCCAUUUGAGGCCAAAAGGAUUCGAAAUGGAACCUUCCUUUCCCCAGCAAUAAGUCAUUCAGCCCCAAAAUGAGUACUCCAAUUGGCAUCGGUAGGGCCUAUUCCAAUUCAGAAGUCAAGCAGUCACUACCUGCUCCAUUCUGUUCUCUCGGAUUAGUUACUGCAAUGCAAAAGGAUUCAGCAAAGCGAGACUUGACUUUUUCUUUACUAAUGCACCUUCUAAUUUUGCCAGAAAAAAUUAACGACAGAAGCAAUGGGGAUGUGGCUGAUGACCAAUACCAUUGUUACAAGGUAGGGAUUUUGUUACUCUAGUUCGCUGUGAUACCUUUGAAGAAAUUUUGAGCUAGCACUGCCGUAAGUUAUACAUGUGCUUGCGGUUCUUCUAAAUAUCCAGCGAAAUUAAUGAAUAAAUUUGUGGUCAUUAUUACUGAAUCAAAGGGACUGGCCAAAAACUGCAGGAAGAUGUGAACAUCAUGAAGGAUAUUGGAAUGGAUGCGUACAGGUUCUCCAUCUCAUGGACAAGUAUUCUUCCAAGUACUUGAAAUAUCUUCAGAAUGGAUACAAUUGCAACGUCCUCAAAGCCGUGUUCUCUUUUCUGUAUUGUCAAGUAGAAAAUUUUCAUUCUUGAUUCAUGGUUAACAAUAUGAAUGGUCAUUCUACCAAAAUUCGCAGAAUUUUCUUAUUAUAAGCCAACAUACUCCCUCUCUAUUUUUAAAUAUUUGAUGUUAAAGACAUGCUAGAUAGUUCAUAACAUCAUAUCUUUAAGUCUGAUUGGAUGACAGAUGCAAGUUUGAGUGGUGGAGUUAACAGGGAAGGAGUCAAUUAUUACAACAAUUUGAUUAAUGAGCUCUUGUCCAAAGGUAGGUAUUUCAAAUCUUCAGUAUAAUAUAUAUUGAUUCUUUUGCUUUGCAAUAGUUUCAAAGUUGAAUGGAGCACUACAUGUUCAUUGUUAUUCAAGGGGCAUUAUUAUCCACUAGAGAAAUAUUUAUUUGUUUGCAGGUUUGCAGCCAUUUGUGACUAUUUCCACUGGGACUCAUCUCAGGCAUUAGAAGACAAAUACAAAGGGUUUCUUAGUCCUAAUAUAGUGUAAGUCAACUACAUUCAGUUUAGUCCUAAUUUUUUCCUCAAAACUGACGUUAUAAUAACGUGCAUUACUAUACUACUCUGUGAACUAAACGGACUAACAAACAGUAGUUGAGUAUGACAUGAUAAUUUUUUCACAAAUUUUGCAAAAUUUGAGCUGACUGCAGACUUUUCUAUCAUAAACAAACCGUGUCCAGCAUGGAUCCAUGAUUCUGCUUGACUGGACAGGUAUGAGUAGGGGGUUGGUUAUUUUGCUUGUUCGGAUGCUGAUGGGUGCAUAUGCAUCCAUGAUUCUGGAGCCACGCCAAUGGCUAGUUUAUAUAAUUUUAGAGUUGUCCUGAUCUUUAGAUGUGCCAACUUGCAGGCACCAUUCUGAGUUGACAUAUGCAGGGAGGCUAAGCUAGCUUCAGUGGUAAACAAUGUAUGAUGCACUGGCUCAUGAACAGAUUUAUGGGUGAUUUAUUUUCUGAAAAAAAUCUAUAAAUCUGUGCAUGAAGCCAAGCCAAAGUUCAGUGUCAAAUUUAUAUACAUCUAUUUGUUUUUUCCUUCCAUGAUCUUUAAAGAUACUACCAACUUAGAUAUAAACUAUAACCCAGCCAUGAUUGAUGAAGGAAAUCUCUAACCAAAAAAAAGUUUAUAAAACAUCAAACUCAAUAACACAUAGCUCUACGCCGUAAAAGAGCUAUCCUACAGCACCCAAAAAUACUGAAUAAAACACUUAGAUUUACUCAUCAGAUGUCCCAAUUUAGUAAAUCAUGUUUUAGUAAACCUCUUUGUAAAACCAGGUUUUACACGAUCCGACUUUCAUAGUCAACUUCUAGGAAACGUUAUUAUUAAAAAUCUCAGUUUCCAACUCGACAACUUAAAAUGCUGAAGAAUUGUUAUGCAUGGAAUCAAACUUUAUUAUUCCUUUUUUUAACUUGCACAGCUAGCUGACCUACUUGAACCACUUUCACAUCAGUAGUACAAGUACAAUGGAUGGAAAGUGGUACGAGUUCCCAACUCUUUUGAAAUUUCAGAAACAGGUCAAGAGAAAAAGAACGAGAAAUAGGGCGAACAAGUGUGCAAAAUUGUAGGGUAAAUAUUAAAUUAAGACAAUUUCUAUUUUGACUCUGAUGGAGUUGACGAUCUGGGGCAGUAAAUAAAAUAGGUCUAGUACUGGUACGACGCCUUAUUUAUUUGGACCAAACGUCUCAGUUUCUUUCUUUUUUGCAUGCAUCUCUCUCUAUAUAUAUUCUGUACAUGUUACAUGAAGAGAUAAUCUUGUGAUCCAAUCCAACCAAAUAUCAUUCCACUGACCGGCUUCCUGCCUAUAAAUAGUGUUGCCUCCCCAGCCGUAUGGGCACUAGAAACCCCUUAAGCUGCUAGUCUCUUCUUCUCUGCUCUUCCUACCUUCCUCUAGCUAUAGCAACACCUUGCCCACAUUCCAUGUCUCCCACGGGUGCUUCCGCUCUCAAGGUUGCGGCUAUCGCCGUCUGCCUCGGGCUGGUUCUAUCGUCCAUGAGGCAGCCAGUGUUCGCGCAAACCCAGUCCCAGCAGCAAGCUUGCACCACAACUUGCGCCAGCGCGUGCAAUAUUGUGGCGAAGGCAGCCUGCCCCGGCUUCUGCGCAGGCAACCCAACUCCCACUAAUCCGCUAGCUUGCAACGCCUGCAACACGACGGCCAAUGCAGAUUGCAACAAUCAGUGCGCCCCAGCCUGCUUCCUCAACCCAGAUCCCAACGCUUAAUGUUCAUCAUCCAUGUUCGUGCUGUUGCUUAAGAGCUAAUGUUUACUGAAUAAUUAAGCAUGCCGACUGGACUGCAUGUAUGUUGUGUUGCUUUCUAUUCUAUUUCCCUUGCAAAUGAUGUAAAGCCGUCGGCCUACUGGCUGGCUGGACUCAUGUAGAAAAUCGCUCCAUGUGAUUGGUGUUCCUUGGGCUUUGUUGAAUUGAAAUCAUGUUGCUAUGUGUUUCAGUAUUAA
rnacentral:lncRNA from 1 species